rnacentral:rRNA from 1 species
AUUGAACGCUGGCGGCAGGCCUAACACAUGCAAGUCGAACGAGUGGCGGACGGGUGAGUAAUGUCUGGGAAACUGCCUGAUGGAGGGGGAUAACUACUGGAAACGGUAGCUAAUACCGCAUCCCAUCAGAUGUUCCCAGAUGGGAUUAGCUUGUUGGUGGGGUAACGGCUCACCAAGGCGACGAUCCCUAGCUGGUCUGAGAGGAUGACCAGACACACUGGAACUGAGACACGGGCCAGACUCCUACGGGAGGCAGCAGUGGGGAAUAUUGCACAAUGGGCGCAAGCCUGAUGCAGCCAUGCCGAGUGUAUGAAGAAGGCCUUCGGGUUGUAAAGUACUUUCAGCGGGGAGGCGUUACCCGCAGAAGAAGCACCGGCUAACUCCGUGCCAGCAGCCGCGGUAAUUC